GGCUCGGUAGCUUAGUUGGUAAAGCACUUGUUUAGCGUAUAAAGGUCAUGAGUUCAAAUCUCAUCUGAGCUG
rfam:Aedes albopictus isolate Foshan contig33740, whole genome shotgun sequence.